rnacentral:rRNA from 1 species
AGGACGAACGCUGGCGGCGUGCUUAACACAUGCAAGUCGAGCGGUAAGGCCUUUCGGGGUACACGAGCGGCGAACGGGUGAGUAACACGUGGGCGAUCUGCCCUGCACUUCGGGAUAAGCCUGGGAAACUGGGUCUAAUACCGGAUAUGACCUCAGGUUGCAUGACGUUGGGGUGGAAAGAUUUAUCGGUGCAGGAUGGGCCCGCGGCCUAUCAGCUUGUUGGUGGGUAAUGGCCUAACGAAGGCGACGACGGGUAGCCGACCUGGAGAGGGUGACCGGCCACACCGUGGGACUGAGACGACGGCCAGGACCUCCGUACGGGAGGCAGUCGAGGUGGGGAAUUAGUGACGACG